ACAUAUGUAACCAAAAGCAUAUAGUUUGAGACUUAUAUAGCCAUCACUUUUAAACUAUGACUUUAGGGGUCAAAAUGCUAUUAAAAGACAAAGCUACCCUUACUAAUUAGUCAAUAAAAAUAAAGCAAAAUUGAAAUAGUAUUUGACUUGAAAGAAAAAUGUAAAAAAACAAAAUAAAAAAUCAAAGUUUGACUUAAGAAUUAAAAAGGGCCGAGAUUUCAUCUUUCUUCUUCCCCAUUUCAAAACCAUCGAACCGUUCCCUUCCCCAUUUCAAAAUUUCCGUCCGUUCUUCCCCAUUUGCGUUUCUUCACGGCGACCGUCGACUGUCGACUUUCGUUCUCGGCGAUUCUUCACGGCGCAACCUCCAGCGCCUCUUCUCCACGACGACUCC
rnacentral:lncRNA from 1 species